AUUGAACGCUGGCGGCAUGCCCUACACAUGCAAGUCGAACGGCAGCAUGGAGAGCUUGCUCUCUGAUGGCGAGUGGCGAACGGGUGAGUAAUGCAUCGGAACGUACCGUGUAAUGGGGGAUAACGUAGCGAAAGUUACGCUAAUACCGCAUACGACCUGAGGGUGAAAGCAGGGGAUCGCAAGACCUUGCGUUAUACGAGCGGCCGAUGUAAGAUUAGCUAGUUGGUGAGGUAAAGGCUCACCAAGGCGACGAUCUGUAGCGGGUCUGAGGGGAUGAUCCGCCACACUGGGACUGAGACACGGCCCAGACUCCUACGGGAGGCAGCAGUGGGGAAUUUUGGACAAUGGGGGCAACCCUGAUCCAGCCAUGCCGCGUGAGUGAAGAAGGCCUUCGGGUUGUAAAGCUCCUUCGGCCGGGAAGAAAUCGCACAGGCUAAUACUCUGUGUGGAUGACGGUACCGGCAUAAGAAGCACCGGCUAACUACGUGCCAGCCGCCGCGGUAA
rnacentral:rRNA from 1 species